rnacentral:rRNA from 1 species
GACGAACCGUGCGAACGUUGUUCGGAAUCACUGGGCUUAAAGGGCGCGUAGGCGGGCUGCCAAGUCCGUAGGUGAAAUCCCCCGGCUCAACCGGGGAACGGCCUCGGAUACUGGCGGCCUGGAGGGGGUAGGGGCGUGCGGAACUGUGGGUGGAGCGGUGAAAUGCGUUGAGAUCCACAGGAACUCCGGUGGCGAAGGCGGCACGCUGGACCCUUUCUGACGCUGAGGCGCGAAAGCCAGGGGAGCGAACAGG